GCCACGUUUUGCCAUUUGGUUGGCUAAGCUGAGGGAAAGAGGGGCCCAUGACUCUAACGUGAGACAAAACCAGCUCCCAACCAAACCCUAUCCAUCCGUCCUUCUCUCCCUCGCGUCCCCCAUCCCAGCCGCCGCGCGCCUCUCCUCCUCCCCGCCGCUGCGCGCCUCUCCUCCUCCCAGCCGCCGUCGCUUUUCUCUCCUCUGGCAUGCUUCCUCCCUAGGCUCAGCCGGAGGAGCACGACGUGCCGCGCGCUCAGCAGGAGACAGUCUCCAGGGGCAGUUCCUCAGCGAAGUGGAGCGUGGGCAGUCCGAUCCUCAGGCCGCCGAGGUGGAUGAUGCGGCGCCGUCUUCCUCAACGGAGAGGAUCUCGAGCCGCAACCGCCAAGCUGCACCAGAGGACGGGCCGACGCUGCACCGCGGGAGAGUUGUUAUUUGGGUGAUUCGCUUCUGCUAGUGAGGAAGAUGGGAAGAGCAAGAAGAAGGGGUGAGGGAGGUGGAAGAGGAGACAAUGGAUGAACACAGAUCUGCUCCAACAGAAGUAGAAUACAUUCAAUCGGGAAUAAUCAUGUUGGAGAAUGUGGUUGGUUGGUAUCACUCGCACCCUGGUUAUGGAUGUUGGCUGUCAGACAUUGAUGUUUCAACUCAGAUGCUUAAUCAGCAGUAUACCGAGCCAUUCUUAGCUGUUGCGAUAAACCCUACAAGGAUUAUUUCUGCUGUGAAGUGGAAAUUGGAGCUUUUAGGGCAUACCCAAAAGAUUACAAGCCACCGGAUGAGGCAGUGUCCAAGUAUCAGACGAUACCACUCAACAAGAUAGAAGAUUUUGGUGUUCACUGCAAACUGGUUCUUAGACCACUAAAUAUGUCAGCAUCAAAUGGGAAGUGGAUCAAUGGGGUCCAGUUCUCAUCACUAUUCUGGUGCCGGCACAAACAGGCACAACCCUUGGCCUAUGUUGAGUGCUUUGGUCAGUUCACAUGUGACAGAGAGCAAUUCCCGGAGCAUUAGCUCAGGCCAGAUUUAGGAGUGGUAGAUGAAGCCGAACCUGUCCUCGCUGACCUUCGCAAAUGGCUCUGUCAAGCUCCUCCAGUCCAAAUACCCUCAGCCACACCUCACCCGUCAACUCUGAGGUUCCGGAACAAUCACUUGGCGCAUGAUAUAUGGAAUGAACGAUAGUUUUGGGUGUCUUUACUUGUGAGUAUCAGGCAUCAGUAGGCGUAAAUCCAACCAAAGAAUCAUCAGAAUUGCUUAUCUAAUUCCCCAACAGUUAUCAGAGACAUUGAAGAGAUUUGAUGCAAACAUUUUUCACCAUCCAAGUUUACAAUGCUGAGCCGGUGAAAACAGUGGAGCGAUGAUACACAACAGGGAUGUAGAUGAGGUUCACAUGAAGUAUUUUGAGAUUGAGCAAACAUGUGAUCGGCUGGAUCUUCGCGAUUUCUGAUAUCGUUAUUGUUGCUGGUGAUGGACAUGGGAAGGGAAGAAGAAAAUGGACUUGCUCAAAAAAAAAAAAAUAGCGAGGGAGGUGGAAGAGGAGACAACGGCUGGACACAGAUCUGCAAUAAUCAGGUUGCGCUUGCAUCUGAAGGGGCGGAGACAAUGGAUGGAACACAUGAUGGAUGCACCACAACGCCAUGAGCCCGAUGGCUGAUGAAGGACAGAGGAGGUGGCAUAUGGAGGAUAAGAAUGCAGAGGAGGUGGCAUAUGGAUGGCGAGCAGACGGUGGAGGUGGCACUCCCGCUACGAGCAGCCGUCUUACCGCGCUACAGAAGGAUGCACAGAUUGCCAUCGACUUACUUGGCAUAUGGUAGUGAUCUUGAUUCUGACCUAACUGAAGAUAGCUUGCCACCAUUUUAUGAUACAUUCUUCAGAAUGCUAAUGGCAGCUGCAAUCGACACACUGUUGUUCUAAAUAUAUAAGACCUGGAAGUAAAUACCUGCAACGCGUCUAUGAGUCGUACCUCCGCCGGUCGACCUGUGGCAGGGCUGUCUUUGGAGACGAGACGGCUAACGAGCGAGAGAUGUCACUGAAACGAAUGUUAGUGCGAGACAAGGGGAUGGCUCUUUGCUUAUAUGGCUAGCUGACUCAUGAACUUGCUGACUGAUCAGAUGGAUAAGGAUUGCAUUGAUUUUGUCAGCACGAGAUAACUACUAAUCAUAGCAAACUAUACUGUUUCCCCACUUUUUUUAGGGUUAUAUAAAUGGAAACCGGUGCGAGAGCCACGCUGUCAGGCCUAAAACUGGGGAAUAGGGAUCUGAGCAAUCAGAAAUGGACAGACAUGUAUGCCACAAUGCAGGGCAGUGCUGGUCAUAUAGGGCGUCCUGGACAAUAAAUCAAAGAGGACGUUGAUGCUGGAUAUAAGCGAGUCACUAUUGUUUAUGACAAGUCACCAGAUUUAUAUCUAUAAUAUCACCAGUAUGUAAUAAAGUCUAGGAUGUUUUCCAUUUGCUGCAAAUUGAUAUUGUGACAUCACAUUGUCAACUGGCUAAUAUUCAAGAAGAGUUAUUUUUUCAGGCAGUGAAUCACUUAGCUGCAUC